rnacentral:tRNA from 1 species
GGGGAUAUAGUUUAGCAGCAUAACACCUGCUUGGCAAGCACAAAAUCCUUGGUUCGAUUCCUGGUACUUCCC